GCCGUAAACAAUUAAUUUACACCAAUAAGCGCCAGGGAAUUACGAGCAAUGCUUAAAACCCAAAGGAUUUGACGGUGUCCCACCCCACUAGAGGAGCCUGUUCUAUAAUCGAUGAUCCCCGAUAUACCCGACCAUUUCUCGCUUAUCAGUCUGUAUACCUCCGUCGAAAGCUUACCAUGUGAACGCUUGCAGUAGGCUUAAUGACCUAACACGUCAAUACGUCAGGUCAAGGUGCAGCUUAAGAAAUGGGAAGUAAUGGGCUACAAUUUCUAAUCUAGAACAAACGAAAGACUAUAUGAAAUUAUAAUCAUGAAGGUGGAUUUAGUAGUAAAAAGAAAAUAGAGUGUUCUUUUUAACCCGGCUCUGGGACGCGUACACACCGCCCGUCACCCUCUUCGAUAGUAUCUCACCCCGUUCCUAACCCACUAUUACAUUUUAGAAGAGGCAAGUCGUAACAUGGUAAGUGUACUGGAAAGUGCACUUGGUUUAU
rnacentral:rRNA from 1 species